CUGUUUAUAUAUUUGAAGUUAACCUGCUGACCUUUAACCUUAAGUAAACCUUGUGCUCCUUUUGUAGGUCUGACUGUGCUGACUGCUGCAGGUGUGGCUGUGUUGCUGUAUGGACUGACUGUUUCUGCAGACUCCUCUCUGCCUGUGCUCAGACUCUUCUGCCAUCUAGUGGUUGUCUGUCCAUACUGCGUCUGUACUGCUCUGAUGGCGUCCAUCUGCUGCAGCAGGAAGACGGGAAACAAAGAGGUCGUCUCCAUGGAGAUGACCCAGCGUGUCGGAGGAAGUGACGGGUUGGAUGAAGAGUACGAUGACGUCACUGCUGAUGUCACCACUGAGUAUAAGUUCUGAGCUGUGAGCGCAGUGACAGCAGCUGAUGUUACAUGGACUCUGAUCAAUAACAUGAUGGAUCUGAAGUCAGCUCCUGAUCAGUCUCAGUCACUGAUCAUCAUCAUCUUUUUAUUCAUUGUCUUUAUUUUUUUAAUUUUCAAAUACAAUGCGAAAAAUUACGGAGCCCCUAAAGGGACAUGGGAAAAAAAAAAAAAAUUAAACGUUUCCCGUGAGCAAGUGUUAUAUUCUCAGCAUUAUGGUAAUUGCGGAGAAACAACGUAUUCACUUCCAGUUUUCAAAAUAAAGGUAUUAAGAACAGUAAGCUAUAGUUUGAACCUACAUUUAAAAUAAAA